UAAGGAAUAUUGGUCAAUGGACGCAAGUCUGAACCAGCCAUGCCGCGUGGAGGAUGAAGGUCCUCUGGAUUGUAAACUUCUUUUAUCUGGGACGAAACACUUCUUUUCUAAGAGGCCUGACGGUACCAGAUGAAUAAGCACCGGCUAACACCGUGCCAGCAGCCGCGGUAAUACGGAGGGUGCAAGCGUUAUCCGGAUUCACUGGGUUUAAAGGGUGCGUAGGUGGGUAUGUAAGUCAGUGGUGAAAUCCCCGAGCUUAACUUGGGUACUGCCAUUGAUACUAUAUAUCUUGAAUACCGUAGAGGUAAGCGGAAUAUGUCAUGUAGCGGUGAAAUGCUUAGAUAUGACAUGGAACACCAAUUGCGAAGGCAGCUUACUAUGCGGUGAUUGACACUGAGGCACGAAAGCGUGGGUAGCAAACA
rnacentral:rRNA from 1 species